UUUAUUUUUCCGUGUUCAACGUUUGAUCAUUCGUUUUAUUUGAAUUUUUUUUACGAUUAAUAUUUUUAUUGUUACUAGAUGAUAAAAUAUAAAUAGUAUUUUAUACGUGAUUAAUUUUUUAAAAUUUUUGUACAAAAUUUUCAAAUAAGACGAAUGGUCAAACAUUGGAUACGGAAAAAC
rnacentral:pre_miRNA from 1 species